rnacentral:rRNA from 1 species
GUGCCAGCCGCCGCGGUAAUACGGAGGGUGCAAGCGUUAUCCGGAUUUAUUGGGUUUAAAGGGUGCGUAGGCGGCCUUUUAAGUCAGUGGUGAAAACCUGCGGCUCAACCGUAGGCGUGCCAUUGAAACUGAAGGGCUUGAGUAACCAUGAGGCAGGCGGAAUGUGUAGUGUAGCGGUGAAAUGCUUAGAUAUUACACAGAACACCGAUUGCGUAGGCAGCUUGCUAAAGGUUCACUGACGCUGAUGCACGAAAGCGUGGGGAUCGAACAGGAUUAGAUACCCCUGUAGUCC